rnacentral:rRNA from 1 species
AUGAUGACUCAAGCUCCUACCAAUCAAUUGGGUUGGGCGAUGAAGAGGAAGAUAUUAUCGUCGAGAAUGAAAGAGCCACCGUGCCAAAGGAUAACCGACAAGUCACGACAAACAAGUGGGAGAAGGCAAGGGCCUCCCAUGAGCCGCGGCUACAAAGAUGACCUCCACAUGGACGGGUAUUUUUUCAGCAAGGGAGAACAAGAAAGAGAAGAGGUACAAGCUCAUGUUGGAUGCACAAAAGGAGAAGAUGAAUUGGGACCGGAACAGGGCGGGAAGAAGCUGAAAAUUGAGAGGGAGAAGAUCGAGUUAAAGAAGUAA